rnacentral:rRNA from 1 species
AGAGUUUGAUCCUGGCUCAGGAUGAACGCUAGCGGCAGGCUUAACACAUGCAAGUCGAGGGGCAGCGAGAUCAAAGCUUGCUUUGAUUGUCGGCGACCGGCGCACGGGUGCGUAACGCGUAUGCAACCUACCCACUACAGGGGGAUAACACUGAGAAAUCGGUACUAAUACCCCAUAAUAUUUUGGAAGGCAUCUUUCGAGGUUGAAAACUCCGGUGGUAGUGGAUGGGCAUGCGUUGUAUUAGCUGGUUGGUGAGGUAACGGCUCACCAAGGCGACGAUACAUAGGGGGACUGAGAGGUUAACCCCCCACAUUGGUACUGAGACACGGACCAAACUCCUACGGGAGGCAGCAGUGAGGAAUAUUGGUCAAUGGACGCAAGUCUGAACCAGCCAUGCCGCGUGCAGGAAGACGGCUCUAUGAGUUGUAAACUGCUUUUGUACGAGAGUAAACGCUCUUACGUGUAAGAGCCUGAAAGUAUCGUACGAAUAAGGAUCGGCUAACUCCGUGCCAGCAGCCGCGGUAAUACGGAGGAUCCAAGCGUUAUCCGGAUUUAUUGGGUUUAAAGGGUGCGUAGGCGGUUUGAUAAGUUAGAGGUGAAAUACCGGUGCUUAACACCGGAACUGCCUCUAAUACUGUUGAACUAGAGAGUAGUUGCGGUAGGCGGAAUGUAUGGUGUAGCGGUGAAAUGCUUAGAGAUCAUACAGAACACCGAUUGCGAAGGCAGCUUACCAAACUAUAUCUGACGUUGAGGCACGAAAGCGUGGGGAGCAAACAGGAUUAGAUACCCUGGUAGUCCACGCAGUAAACGAUGAUAACUCGCUGUCGGCGAUACACAGUCGGCGGCUAAGCGAAAGCGAUAAGUUAUCCACCUGGGGAGUACGUUCGCAAGAAUGAAACUCAAAGGAAUUGACGGGGGCCCGCACAAGCGGAGGAACAUGUG